ACGAAGCAAUCAAGAAAGACGAUGGCGUAGAAGAAGCUGAUCAAAAAGAAGAAAAAUGAAUGAAACUGUAACAAACGGUUUGCAAAAUUUAAAGCUGUUAAACUUUAUAAAUUGAGCGGAUUUACCGGAACUUUUUCAGAUAACAACCAGAGGGGUUUGGCUCCUAUACAAACAAUAACAAUGGCGAUCACUCCUCUCUUCAAUAAUCCCCUGAUGAUCAAUUAAGACACAAAUCGAAGGCAAAUUAAUCUAUCUUAAUCUUCAAUCCACUCCUCUUACUGUUUUACAUCUUGGUGCAUUUGUCUAUGGCUUUACUCUAUUGCCAACUUACACUCUCAACAUGAGAACUGAACGUGUUACUUGGAAAGACUUUUAGCUAACCAAGAUGCUUGAUUGUUUGAUCAUUUGAUCCAUCCACAUUGAUUAGACAAAUCAUCGCUAUUAAUAUCAACAUUUCUAAUGGAGUUUCUUCUAAUAUUAAUUGGCAAUCUAUUAAAUCAACUCUUUUAUCUGAUUUCACGAUGAUCCCCAUUUCUUGGAUAAUUAUGAUUAAUUGGUCUCUUUUUUUACAUGAUUUACAGCCUAUUGUGUCCUUCAAGGCAGGCUAGAAGGCAAUCUACUUGUGAGGCUGUUGAUUUAUCAAAGAAAAUUAUACUUGCUCAAUAAUAUUUAGAUGUUUGUCGAUCAAAGUCUGACCAGGGAGAGACGACAGAGAGGAUCUUCAACAACCUGAAUUGGAAUACGUUAUCUGAUGUUCAACUGUCAAUCAUCAGUUCGGCCAACAGUCAAAUCAAACCAAGGGUUAGGCCUGGAUCCUGAGGAACUGUAGUUUCAACUUUAAGGCAAAUUGGGAAUCUUGAUUGCAUCAAUUUUUAUCAUCAUUAUCAUCAUGAUCGUCAUCAUCAACCUAAAGAGCAACAAAAGCACCAAUUGUUUUCAUCUGAGGAAUAAAAGGGAUCAACUUAAAGCAAAUCAACAUCAUCUUGUUAACUUUUUAACAUGAUGUUUGCGGUUAAUAGCCAAAAAUCAAAUAAUCAAGAUCAAAGUUGAUUAAGCUCUUACAAUUUGGCUCUCUCUCUCCCUCCUGGAUUCUUAAUAGUGUUGAUACUGUUAAACUCAACAUGUUUUGAGACAAUUUAACCCUGAAUAGGCCUCAAUUUAACUAUUAAAGGGUGUUCUUGCCUGUUCUAAUCUUUCAACUUUGCUUUAAAAGAUUCACUGAACAGGUUUGUUCCCUAAGGUUAUCUUGAAGACUUGCCCAAGGCCUGAUGCACAAAAAAGCCAAAAGAGAUGAUGUUCAUGAAAAGCUAUUAGGUUGACCGAGAUUCCAAUGAGUGAUUGUAUUUUGCACUGGAUUUUGGAAACAAAAAAGAAGAGUAUCAUGAUCAUGAUAGAAGCCGAUAAUAAUAACAUUUUCGAUACGAUGAGCAAUGCGGGUUUUGAAAGGGCAGUUCAGACUAAUUUAAUUGGAUUUAAUGCCCAAAAAGAGCCAUUCCAAACAAUAGUUGAUACCAAAAGUGACCAUCUUGAUUUGUGCCCGUUGAAAGUAAACAAUCAAUCGUUUUGUUUAUCAAGCAAACGGAACAAUAUUAGAAUGAUUUAAUCUUUUAAUCAUGAAUAUAGCUGAUGAUAAAAAUCAAAAUGAAGAGUUUUUGGAAAAUCUCAUUAACAACAUUUCCCAUACAGUUGAAUCAGAAGCCAUCAGAAGCAAUCUUGAAACAAACCUGAUGAUGAUUAUCAAAUUUAAAUUUAAAUUUUACUCAUUUGAUGCAGCCAAAAUUGCUCUUGAAAUUGAAUUGAAUCACAGCCAAAUAAUCAUGAAAUAUGUUUGACAAUUGGGGUUGAUUAAUAUGCUAAAAGUAAAUCACCAAGCUUUACUUUUGUACCUCCAAUGGUCACCUCACCAUAUAAUUAACUCUCAUGAAUCAUUUCUAAUCAUGGUUUCAAGGCAUUUCAAUUCUUCAUGCAGACCCGCAAAGAGUUAACAUGUAAAAGCGUAAACCAUCCAAAUUAAAUAAGAUAAUCAUGUUAAUCAAACCUCACACAAUCAUAAGGCAACUGUUGAAAAUUAAAGGUUUGAUUGUAAUCAAAAGUAAACCUGACCAAGAUAUGGCAAGACAAUUGACAUUAUUGAUUAAGUGUCACGUCAAACAGUUGUAUCAAAUUGUUUGAUCAAAAAAUGUCAGCCAAAAGACGAAAGUCAAUUAAUCAAGCAAGAUGAAGAUUUACCGAUUAAAUCAACACCAGGCCAUCAUGAUAAUCAUUUAUUUACACUUAAUGUUACAAUUGCAAUGUUAACAACUUUAAAUUUUCAAUUUAAACAUUUACCUUUUUGCCCUUCUAAUGAAUUCAAUUGCCAGACCAUAGCAACAACCAAAAGCUUCACAAAAGCCCAAAAAAUCGCAUCAACCAAAUUUAUAAUUCAUUAAAGACUUUCAACUGAUUAAACGCACGGAAACACAAAUUGAGUUAAAAAUGACCGCAAAACAAAAGUCCAAUUCACAGCAACAUUAAAAGCUAUUAAAAGCCGGACAAAAGCAUAAACCAAAUUAAAUCUUAAUGAUGUGAGAAUGUCAUCGAUUGUGACAAUUUAACUUUAAGUUAUCAAUCAAUUGACAUUUCUAAACAUUUGUCAUUAACUUCAACCUUAACCAUGAAAUGGUGUAAAGCAAUUAAGAGUCAAUAGUAAAGUUGCUUAAAGGUUCAACAGUUGAACCAUCAAACAAAAUCCAAUUGUAACAAUUAAAAGGUAAAAGGCUAAAAAUUGCCUUUGAAAUGUUGAGUGAUUUAGAUUUUUUGCCGAGAUGGAAAAGUUUACCUUAAAAAAAGAGCUGAGCAAAACUCAUUUUUACCCAUUUUCAUGGUUUCAACAUUAAAGUCAUUCCUUUAUCAUUAUCAUCAUCUAAUUACAUUUAACAUUGUUUAUCCACUAAUUAGCCUUUUAAUAACGAAUUGGUAAAAGAUGAUAAUUUAAGUUUAAUAUUUAAGUUUCAAAUGAAGACAAAAGAUGAUUAUUUUCAUUUCUCAAAUUGGCUAAUUAUUUUUGAACCAAAUAACGUUAUAAACUUAACAGCAACAAAAAAAAGAGUGAAAAGCUAGAGGCAAAUUCAAUUGAUUUGAUUCUCUCAUCAUUAACCAUUAUCAACCAUUAAUUUAAUAGCAAGAAACCCUUUAAUCGAGAUGUUAAUGAAAACAAUCAUUUCUCUUGUUAAUGAUGUUAACUCGUUAAAAACAUGACAAAAAUCAAGUUCAUUGACAGAAGGCGAUUUCAAUUUCAUGUUGCCAGGAAAAAAAACAUUUUCUCAAUGAAUGAGUAUUUUUCCUAAAUCAAACGACUUCACUUGACAUUGAAUAAAUAUCAAUCAAAGAAGCAGAAAAAUUGUUGAAAUUGUUAAUUGAAUCAUCAAAAGGUAUUUAUAUAAAAAACAGAUCAACUUGAACCAAUUAAAGGUUCAUCUAUGAAUGUAGCCAAAAAUUAACCCAAUUACAGCUUCCG